AUUGAACGCUGGCGGCAGGCUUAACACAUGCAAGUCGAGCGAGCGGCGGACGGGUGAGUAAUGUCUGGGAAACUGCCUGAUGGAGGGGGAUAACUACUGGAAACGGUAGCUAAUACCGCAUACCAUCAGAUGUGCCCAGAUGGGAUUAGCCAGUAGGUGGGGUAAUGGCUCACCUAGGCGACGUUCUCUAGCUGGUCUGAGAGGAUGACCAGCCACACUGGGAGUGAGACACGGUCCAUCGUCGUACGGUAGGCAGCAGUGGGGGAUGUUGGCCAGUGGGCGCUAGCCGGAUGCAGCCGUGCCGCGUGUGUGAAGACGGCCUUGGGGUUGUAAAGAACGUUCAGCGAGGAGGCGUUACUCGCAGAAGGAGCACCGGCUAACUCCGUGCCAGCAGCCGCGGUAAUUC
rnacentral:rRNA from 1 species